rnacentral:rRNA from 1 species
AUGGCGGCAUCGGCGAGCACGUCCGGCGAGUGGCUGAAGGGCGCCCUGCAGGAACUGAGGGGCCGCACGGGGAGCGCCCUGGAGCUCGACGACGGCCUCAUCUCCGGCCUCGUCUCCUUCUGCGAGCUCGCGCCUCCGCCCGACGCGGCCGACUACCUCGCGAAUAUUGUUGGAGCAGAAGCUGCGCAGGACCUCAUUCAGGAGUACUUGCAGAGGAGGGGCUACAUUGACCCCUCAAAAGGAGCUGGAAGCUCGCAGUCGUCUAAUCUUCAGCCUUAUUUGAAGCCAUCUGCUGAUGCAGCAACUGCCCAAACAAAGAAACAGACACGUACACAAAAAGAUCCAGCAUCUUCUUCUAGUCAGAGUUCCAAGAGUCAAUCAGAUGCUGCUGACACCCAUGCUGCCUCCAAGAGAGGUCCAAAAAAGAAGGGAGGAAAGGCCAUCUCCCUUGCUGAGGCAGCAAAGGGCUCUAUUGUCUUCAAGCAGGGGAAACCUUGUUCAUGCCAAGCACGGCUGCACAAUCUUGUUAGCAACUGUUUAUCAUGUGGAAAAAUUGUGUGUGAACAAGAGGGCGAGGGACCAUGUAGUUUCUGUGGCUCACUUGUCUUGAUGGAAGGUAGUACAUAUGCGGGUUUAAGUGAUGUUGGAGUUCCUCUUUCGGACACAGAAGUUGCAGCUGAAGCUUAUGCAAAGAGGCUUGUUGACUAUGACAGAAACUCUGCGGCAAGAACUAAAGUUUAUGAUGACCAAAGUGACUAUUUUGAAAUGGAAGGAAAUAGCUGGCUCUCAUCUAAGGAAAAGACAAACCUAAAGAAGGUGCACGACGAAGCUCAGGAUGCAGCUGAAAAACAAAAGGGGAAAGUGACGGUCACAUUUGAUUUGGUGGGCCGUAAGGUAAUUUUGAACAAGGACGAAGCCGCAGAGUCGGAAUCUGACCAAGGGAUCAUGAGACCACUAGAACAGAAGCAUCAGGUUCAACGCAUACAGCCCAGCCCCUCGAUCAGAGAGCAACCAGUCUUCGUUGAAACAGGACCUGUGAAGCCGAGAACCGACAGGGUAAAACAGAGCAAGAAACUCGGAAAGAAUGGCUUGUGCCUGGAGGUAACCGGAAGGGUGCAGCAUGAUGACAAGGAUCCCCAGAGCUUUCUUGGUGGCAAGAUGAAGAAGGGUGAUCAUCUCGCGUACAGUUCCUCCGGUGAAGUUCGUGAAGGUGAUGACUACGAGUGCUCCCUUGAUUUUGAUUGA